CCUGCCGAAGGGAUUUUUCCAGAAAAUAUGACAGUGACAAGCAGUGGAAACCUUUUACUUAAAGAAAUAAAAUGCACAGACAUCAAAGUCAAGCACACAGCUCCUGGGAGAGAAAUGGUGGGAUUCUUCUGGCCAAGUGUGCAGUCCUGCAAGCCACCAAAGGAUCUCUGCAGUGUCACAUG